rnacentral:rRNA from 1 species
AUACGGAGGACGCGAGCGUUAUCCGGAUUCAUUGGGUUUAAAGGGUGCGCAGGCGGCCGUGCAAGUCAGCGGUGAAAGCCCGGGGCUCAACCCCGGAAGUGCCGUUGAUACUGCAUGGCUGGAAUGCGGUCGAGGCGGGCGGGACGUGGCGUGUAGCGGGGAAAUGCGUAGAUAUGCCACAGAACGCCGAUAGCGGAGGCAGCUCGCCAGGCCUGCAUUGACGCUCGGGCACGAAAGCGUGGGGAUCGAACAGGAUUAGAUCCCCUGGUAGUCCACGCCGUAAACGAUGGGCGCUCGUCGUCGGCGGCAGACAGUCGGCGGCCAAGCGAAAGCGAUAAGCGCCCCACCUGGGGAGUACGGUCGCAAGGCUGAAACUCAAAUGAAUUGACGGGG